UGGGGAAUAUUGCACAAUGGGCGCAAGCCUGAUGCAGCCAUGCCGCGUGUAUGAAGAAGGCCUUCGGGUUGUAAAGUACUUUCAGCGGGGAGGAAGGCGAUAAGGUUAAUAACCUUGUCGAUUGACGUUACCCGCAGAAGAAGCACCGGCUAACUCCGUGCCAGCAGCCGCGGUAAUACGGAGGGUGCAAGCGUUAAUCGGAAUUACUGGGCGUAAAGCGCACGCAGGCGGUCUGUCAAGUCGGAUGUGAAAUCCCCGGGCUCAACCUGGGAACUGCAUUCGAAACUGGCAGGCUAGAGUCUUGUAGAGGGGGGUAGAAUUCCAGGUGUAGCGGUGAAAUGCGUAGAGAUCUGGAGGAAUACCGGUGGCGAAGGCGGCCCCCUGGACAAAGA
rnacentral:rRNA from 1 species